rnacentral:rRNA from 1 species
UGCCAGCAGCCGCGGUAAUACGGAGGGGGUUAGCGUUGUUCGGAAUUACGGGCAUAAAGCGCACGUAGGCGGCGAGACAAGUGCAUGGUGAAAGCCCACGGCUUACCCGUGGAACUGCUGUGCAUACUGUUUUGCUCGAGGACGGUAGGGGAGAGCGGAACUCUUGGUGGAGCGGUGAAAUGCGUAGAUAUCAAGAGGAACACCAAAGGCGAAGGCAGCUCUCUGGUCCGUUUCUGACGCUGAGGUGCGAAAGCCAGGGUAGCGAACGGGAUUAGAUA